rnacentral:rRNA from 1 species
UACGGAGGGGGCUAGCGUUAUUCGGAAUUACUGGGCGUAAAGCGCGCGUAGGCGGCUUUGCAAGUCAGAUGUGAAAUCCCUCGGCUUAACCGAGGAAGUGCGUUUGAAACUGCAGAGCUUGAGUACUAAAGAGGAUGGCGGAAUUCCCGAAGUAGAGGUGAAAUUCGUAGAUAUCGGGAGGAACACCGGUGGCGAAGGCGGCCAUCUGGGUAGUCACUGACGCUGAGGCGCGAAAGCGUGGGUACCAAACAGG